UGCAAGUCGAACGGAAAGGCCCUCUGCUUGCAGAGGGUACUCGAGUGGCGAACGGGUGAGUAACACGUGGGUGAUCUGCCCUGCACUGUGGGAUAAGCCUGGGAAACUGGGUCUAAUACCAUAUAUGACCGCGCUUUGGAUGGUGUGGUGGAAAGCUUUUGCGGUGUGGGAUGAGCCUGCGGCCUAUCAGCUUGUUGGUGGGGUAAUGGCCUACCAAGGCGGCGACGGGUAUCCGGCCUGAGAGGGUGUACGGACACAUUGGGACUGAGAUACGGCCCAGACUCCUACGGGAGGCAGCAGUGGGGAAUAUUGCACAAUGGGCGCAAGCCUGAUGCAGCGACGCCGCGUGGGGGAUGAAGGCCUUCGGGUUGUAAACUCCUUUCGCUAUCGACGAAGCCAYUUUGUGGUGACGGUAGGUAGAUAAGAAGCACCGGCUAACUACGUGCCAGCAGCCGCGGUAAUACGUAGGGUGCGAGCGUUGUCCGGAAUUACUGGGCGUAAAGAGCUCGUAGGUGGUUUGUCGCGUCGUCUGUGAAAUCCCGGGGCUUAACUUCGGGCGUGCAGGCGAUACGGGCAUAACUUGAGUGCUGUAGGGGAGACUGGAAUUCCUGGUGUAGC
rnacentral:rRNA from 1 species